rnacentral:snRNA from 1 species
UUCUGUUGUUAAGAGUUCUUUGUGGUUUGGAAUGAUACACAGAAGAUUAGCAUGGCCCCUGCUCAAGGCUGACAUGCAAAAUCGUGAAGCAUUCCAUAUUUUU